UACGAAGGGGGCUAGCGUUGCUCGGAAUGACUGGGCGUAAAGGGCGCGUAGGCGGUUUGUACAGUCAGGUGUGAAAUUCCCGGGCUCAACCUGGGGGCUGCACUUGAUACGUAUGGACUGGAGUGGGGAAGAGGGUCGUGGAAUUCCCAGUGUAGAGGUGAAAUUCGUAGAUAUCAGGAAGAACACCCGUGGCGAAGGCGGCUCUCUGGGACGGUACUGACGCUGAGACGCGAAAGCGUGGGGAGCGAACAGG
rnacentral:rRNA from 1 species